AGAAUCAACGCUGGCGGCGUGCCUCAGACAUGCAAGUCGAACGCGAAAGUCCCCUUCGGGGGGCAAGUAGAGUGGCGCACGGGUGAGUAACACGUAGGUAAUCUACCUUCGGAUGGGGAAUAACAAUCGGAAACGGUUGCUAAUACCGCAUAAUGCAGCGGCACCUAAUGGUGACAGUUGUUAAAGCGGGGGAUCGAAAGACCUCGCGUCUGAAGAGGAGCCUGCGGCGGAUUAGCUAGUUGGUAAGGUAAUGGCUUACCAAGGCUACGAUCC
rnacentral:rRNA from 1 species